GUGCAGGAGAGCAUGAGCUAGAGGCGGAGAGGCAGGAUUCUUGAGUGGACUGUAUUGAAGCAAGGCACUUGACCCAGUGACCCCUACAUUUUUCGACGCUAUUUGGAGCGAAAAUGGAGUAAAAACGCACACAGGAGCUUGGGCCGUGUAGGCCACACGACCGUGUGGCCAUUAGCAUGUUCAACCCGUGCCAAAUGGCAUGGCGGUGCCUGGAAUACAGAUUUGAAGAGGACCACGACCGUGUGAGACACACGGUCGUGCCAACAUCCAGUGGCCAAGCAACACACGGCCGUGCCAACGAUCCAGAGGAGAGAAAGGUCACGGUUGUGUGAAUCCACACGGCUGUGUGACCUCGGCAGAAAAGAAAAAGGCCACGGCCGUGUGAGCCACAUGGCCAUGUGAUUCUAUCCGAGAAGAAGCCGUGUGAGGCCAUGUGGAUUCCACACGGCAGUGUGACGAAGAACACAGGCCAUGCCACGCCAAAACAGGGCUGUGCUGAAUUCUGGGCAGAUUGCAGACUGUUUGUAAUUUGGUGAUAACUUUGUGCUACGUUGGAGUUUUGGGAUGUUCUUUAUACCAAAACGUAGCUGACUUCAAGAUCUACAACUUUCCUUCAUAUCCAACAGAGAGAAAACAUUGUCUGCCCAUGCUAAAUGGCACGGCCGUGCCUCUCAACCGCGGGUUCAACUGGACCUCCGCCCAGACUGCAGACCAAACUUUGAACCGCCAUAACUUUCGGGUCAGUUGGAGCCAGGGCUCGAUACAAGUAUUAUAUUGAAGAUAAUUUUAAGAGCUACAACUUUGUUUCAGGCUUGGAGGAGGUAUAAAAGGGUCAAGAACCCUAUUCUUGGGGCAUCUUUGGUUUGGGAUUUUGUCCCUCUACUUGGGAUUUUGUCCCUCUAGAGGUUCAUUCACCGCCAUCCCUUGACGUUCUGUCCAUCUCCAGAGCAAGGAGGCAUCCCCAAGACAUCAGAAACCUCGGCAAGCAUCUCUUCUUCCCCUUCUUCUCACAUCAAGGGUUGUAAGUAUGCUUUACUUUAUGUUUUGGGGUUUUUCUUACCUCACAAUGGGUAGAUCUCCUUCUCUAUGGAUGUAGGGAGUAGUUU